AUGCUGCAGCUGGAGUUGCAGUUUGGGACUAGGCAGGGGGUGCCACCCUUCCUCCCCGCUCCACCCUUCCUUGGGCUCCCGCUCUUUCCCUCCGAGGUGGCCCCACCCCGCUUCUGUUUUGGGCCCGAGAAGGCGGAGCCCGGGACGCUGACUGGCAGCGCCUCCGCAGCCAGAGGAGGAGGCGGAGACAAGCCCGGGACUGCUGCCGCUACCACCGCUCCUGCUGCCGCUUGGCUCCGCUCCUGGGGGGGGGGGCGGUUCUCCGCCACGCUGCUCGGAUCUCGGGGCGCCGGUCUCCCUGCUUCCCCGGCCAGGCCCUGCCCUACCCAGGAGGGCGCUGCUGGCGCUGCGGCUCCAGGACCCAGGAUCCGGAGAAUAGCAAGAAAAUUAGUAUGCCUGUGUUCCCUUGGGACUCACUGGAAACUGUACCGUGACAUCUGCUGGGACUUAGUCUGGUGAGCCAUGUUUUUUACCUGUUAUUUUGUUAAGUUCUUGAACAAAAACAUAAUUCUACCAUAUAUUAUG
ensembl:lncRNA